CAUGUAGUUCACCCAGCCUUGUUCAACCCCUCUGGCUGACACAAAAUGCUUUUUAUUUUUUCUUUCUCCAGGCUGCACCUGUGCUUGGCUGUCACCCUCCACACAGAAGGUGUCUCUACCACCACCCCAGCCCUGCUACGAGACAACUGCUCGUGAUAAAGGUCCUUGGUGUUUUCUGGGGGACGCCUCAUGUCGAACCAGGGCAGAGAUGGAAGAGAGUUUUGAGAUGUUUGAGGAGGAGUUAGGCAGGCCAGAGCCUCCCCCUCAGAAGCCUGUCAGACAGGCCCGCAGACCAGUUCCAGAAAUGUAUGCUCAGGAGAGAAGAAGAACCAUACAAGAACAGACCAUGCCUUCUCAACAGGAACCUCCAGUCAUGCAGCAGCAAGUUCCCAAGAUAAUGCCCAGAGAACCCAGUGUCCCCGGCAGAAGCAUGUCUCUGCGUAAGGCUAUAUCCCCCCAGAACCUGAGCCAGAUAGAGACACCCUGGGAAGGGGUCACACUUAACCGCUGUCUGAUCAUAGCUAUUACAAUCCUGCUGCUCAGCUCCGGCUUUCAGAAACUUCAUGGCAAGUACACUAGUGUGGACCACAGCCCACUACACAUACUAUAUA
rnacentral:lncRNA from 1 species